CCUGCCCACAAAUCUUCCCUUUCUCCUGCAAGUUUAACAUAAACAGAUAUCUCUUCUCCCUUAGUGAAGUUCAGGUAUCGGCAGUCAGGUCCUCUAUAAUCUCUCAUGGCUGAGACUCUGUUUAUUAAAGCUAUGUAAAACUUUCACAUUCCAAGUCACCACAUUUUUUAAGGUCUGCCAGCAGUUUUGUACUCUCCAGACACUUUGUCAGAGAAAUAGCCAGAAGAAGGAUUCUGUGAACGCCAAAUUUCGCCAUGCUAAAACAAGCAACCGGGAAUCCCAAGUGAAGUUUAAGCCAAUUGUUCAGGUUGUAGAGAUGUCAGCCAAAACUGGAGAUAUUCUACUCUCUUCACUAACUAUAAGAGAAAAAGGGUUGAAGUUUUAAAAAUCUCUUGAUAACUACAUUUUUC
rnacentral:lncRNA from 1 species